rnacentral:rRNA from 1 species
UACGGAGGGGGGCUAGCGUUGUUCGGAAUUACUGGGCGUAAAGCGCACGUAGGCGGCUUUGUAAGUUAGAGGUGAAAGCCCGGGGCUCAACUCCGGAAUUGCCUUUGAUACUGGCGACCUUGAGUCCGGGAGAGGUGAGUGGAACUGCGAGUGUAGAGGUGAAAAUUCGUAGAUAUUCGCAAGAACACCAGUGGCGAAGGCGGCGACCUGGUCCGAUACUGACGCUGAGGCGCGAAAGCGUGGGGGAGCAAAACAGG